rnacentral:rRNA from 1 species
GUGAAGAUGCGGGGUACCCGCGGUUAGACGGAAAGACCCCGUGCACCUUUACUGCAGCUUCAGAGUGGCAUUAGGAAAGAACUGUGUAGCAUAGGUGGGAGGCUUUGAAGCAUUGGCGCCAGCCGAUGUGGAGCCAUAGGUGAAAUACCACCCUGUUGUUUUCUGAUGUCUAACCUCGAACCAUGAAACUGGUUCAGGGACCCUCUGUGGCGGGUAGUUUGACUGGGGCGGUCGC